AUAAUCUACAGGCCAACAUAAUUAUCUUAGAAUUGAUUUGCGGACCGAAUUAAGAGUAGGGAAGUGUGUGAGCCAUGCGUCAAGAAAAGCCGCUAUUGUUUUACUUAAGCCCGUACCGUAAACCGACACAGGUGGAUGAGGAGAGAAUCCUAAGGCCGACGGGAGAAGCAUUGUUAAGGAACUCGGCAAAAUGACUCCGUAACUUCGGGAGAAGGAGUGCCAGCGAGAGCUGGCCGCAGAGAAUUGGCCCAAGCAACUGUUUAGCAAAAACACAGGUCUAUGCAAAACCGUAAGGUGAAGUAUAUGGGCUGACGCCUGCCCGGUGCUGGAAGGUUAAGAGGAGAGGUUAGCGGUAACGCGAAGCUUUGAAUUUAAGCCCCAGUAAACGGCGGCCGUAACGAUAACGGUCCUAAGGUAGCGAAAUUCCUUGUCGGGUAAGUUCCGACCCGCACGAAAGGCGUAAUGAUUUGGGCACUGUCUCAACAAUGCACCCGGUGAAAUUGAAAUACCAGUGAAGAUGCUGGUUACCUGCGCCAGGACGGAAAGACCCCAUGGAGCUUUACUCCAGCUUGAUACUGGGAUUCGGUAUUGCAUGUACAGGAUAGGUGGGAGGCUAGGAAGUGAUAACGCCAGUUGUCACGGAGCCGCUGUUGGGAUACCACCCUUGCAGUAUUGGAUUUCUAACCAGCGACCAUGAACUGGUCGGGGGACAAUGUCAGGUGGGGAGUUUGACUGGGGCGGUCGCCUCCGAAAGGGUAUCGGAGGCGCUCAAAGGUUCCCUCAGAAUGGACGGAAACCAUUCGAAGAGUGCAAAGGCAGAAGGGAGCUUGACUGCGACACCGACGGGUGGAGCAGGUACGAAAGUAGGACUUAGUGAUCCGGUGGUAUAAAGUGGGAUCCAUCGCUCAACGGAUAAAAGCUACCCUGGGAUAACAGGCUUAUCACUCCCAAGAGUUCACAUCGACGGAGUGGUUUGGCACCUCGAUGUCGGCUCAUCGCAUCCUGGGGCUGAAGUAGGUCCCAAGGGUUGGGCUGUUCGCCCAUUAAAGCGGUACGCGAGCUGGGUUCAGAACGUCGUGAGACAGUUCGGUCCCUAUCCGGCGUGGGCGUAGGAUAUUUGAGAGGAGCUGUCCUUAGUACGAGAGGACCGGGAUGGACUGGCCGCUGGUGUAUCUGUUGCAUACCAAAUGCAUGGCAGAGUAGCCAAGCCGGGACGGGAUGAACGCUGAAGGCAUCUAAGCGUGAAGCCCCCCUCAAGAUGAGAUAUCCCUACGUAAGUAGUAAGACCCCUUGAAGACGACGAGGUAGAUAGGUCAGAGGUGGAAGUACAGUAAUGUAUGGAGCUGACUGAUACUAAUCGGUCGAGGGCAUGACCU
rnacentral:rRNA from 1 species